rnacentral:sRNA from 1 species
UAAUCCUCAAUGCUGAGGGACGUGGUCUC